CCUACGGGUGGCAGCAGUGAGGAAUCUUGGUCAAUGGGCGCGAGCCUGAACCAGCCAAGUAGCGUGAAGGAUGACUGCCCUACGGGUUGUAAACUUCUUUUAUAAAGGAAUAAAGUGAGGCACGUGUGCCUUUUUGUAUGUACUUUAUGAAUAAGGAUCGGCUAACUCGGUUCCAGCAGCCGCGGUAAUCAGGAGGAUCCGGGCGUUAUCCGGCUUUAUUGGGUUUAAAGGGAGUGUAGAGGGGUUGUAAAUUCCUUUGUGAAAGUUUGCGGCUCAACCGGAAAAUUGCAAUUGAUACUGGCAGCCUUGAGUACAGGAGAGGUAGGCGGAAUUCGUGGUGUAGCGGUGAAAUGCUUAGAUAUCACGAAGAACUCCGAUUGCGAAGGCAGCUUACUAAACUGCAACUGACAUUGAGGCUCGAAAGUGUGGGUAUCAAACAGGAUUAGAUACCCCAGUAGUC
rnacentral:rRNA from 1 species